GAGAGCAGCCACUCUGGAGCUCAACCGGCUUUUGUGAGGGUCUGGGCGAUUUGUCAAAUGGUUGUGGCAUAAGUCAAACUCUGAGGUUGAAAGGUCUUGACCUAAGGAGUCCUGGAAUCAGACAGUGUAAGCAAGGGGUCUGCUAGAAUUUUCAGCUGUAGUGGAGAUGAACAAUGAUGGGAGCUGGACAUCACAAAACCUCAUUUGCAUAAUUCAGGGGAAACUGCUUUGAAGAAUGCAGCAAAUUAUUUUGUAUACUACAUCCAAGGCUACUGAACCAGAAGAAUAAGGACAUACUGCUUGUGAGUUCAGCUGGAUCAAUAGCUCAGCCCUGGGAUUUGCUCGUCGGCUGGAUACUGAAUGAAAAGCACUAAGCUGCCAGUUUGUACCAUGGAUAUAGAAGACCUCAAUGCAGCCAAGAGACAUUUUUCAUAAGACAGAAAGCAGCUUACCUUUAAAAAUGUUUAGAUAUAUGAGCACACAACAUACAGAGACUAUGAAACGUACUUGCAGAUAUUGUACAAAAUUCUCCCUUCCUGCCCUAUUACUCAAGAGAAAGAAUGUGUAAACACACACACACACACACACACACACACACACACCCCAUAUAUAGAAAUAUAUAUUUGUAGAAUGCCUUUUUUCCAAAGACCUCAAAGCACUCCACAAUAUGAUCAAAUCCUUUCCUGCGUCUCUGUGAGUCAAGAGUAAGUGUUUGUGAUUACCAAUUGAUAUUUUUUCCUGCUGGGGCACAUCACAUAGCUGGCCAAGCAAGUUCAGGAGGAAGCUUUCUCAAUCUCUCACUUUCUCAACUGCACUCUUCACCAUCGUAGGUUGUCUGGUCGCAUAAUGUGUGUGAAAUUUGAUGAGAUAUCAAACCAGAGUUCUGAUAAGGAAUUGUUUUUGUCUGCUUUUCUGCCAGUCCUAGUUUUUUUCCUCAAUAAGCAUCUGUAUUGUUCCUGGUAUCAUAGCAGCAAGAUAAGCAAUCAGAUCUAUUAGAUGGGAGGAAAUCAGGGAGAAGAUAUUAGAUCCAGGCUUUCAUGCUUAGCUUGAAAUCUCUGCAGUUCUGUCACUGUUGUGAACAUAAAAGACUCUCUGAAGUGGUAUUUAGAAACUUCCCUGAGAAAAAGGAUAAUACAAACAAAGCAAUUAAAAAAUGGAAAAAUAAAAGUCAUCCAGCUAAAAAAUAGAUCUGCACCGAGGCAAUAAAAAGUUUCUGGCAAUUGGCUGCACUUAUUAUUCAUUCCUUCUUGUCCGUACUUAGAGUAGGAACAUGCAACCUAGAAUCAUGGGAUAAGAGAAAGCUUUCAAAAUCCCAUUAGGCUCAACUGGCAUUCUGCAACAGCCCACCAGGCUCUGGUUGGGGCCCCAUGAGAAACUGUAAGAGAAGAAGUCAUCUCUUUGUCCAUGCCUUUGGCAUCUCCCCUGACUUCAGCUUUUGCUUUAAGCAGUGAUACAGUGACUAAAAUGAUAGAAAUAAUGGCAAACAAAAGUGUAAAUAGCUUGAUAAGACAAAUCCUCCCACUGUAGUAAAAAGGAAAAUUCUGCUUUGAUUUCAUAAUUUAUCUGCUCAUUUGGCUCAGGACUUUGAGUCUGAUCAUCAACCCAGGAAGUGAGGAGGAAUUUUCUUUCUUCCCUCCUUCCUUCCUUUUAUCCUCCCUUCUUUCCUUCCCCCUUCUCUCUCCUCUUAUCUUUCAAAAUAAUGGUUCUUUGACUUUUUUAAAGAAGUGAGUAGUGAAAAUUUGCUAUACCUGUGCUGAGAAUGUGACCUUGGGUCACCUAAGUGUUGAUCUCUCUCUUUACUCAAAGUAUUCUUUCUAGAAGAAGCACAACCAAGUGGUCUAAAGUGCAGUUUAACUAAUGGCUAAUAUAUCACAAUCUUUGCAAUUAGUCAAAUGUAGGUCCAAAUUUCUGCUUAACCUGCUAAACUGUAUGUCCUUGGGUAAAUUGCAUAAUGUCUCCAGGCCUCAAAUUUCUCCACAGUAAAUUACUAGUAAUAAUGUUUAUGUUGUAAGGUUGUGGUAGGGAUUGCAUUACAUACUGUAUAUAAAUGGCUAAUUUCAGUGCCAAGCAUCAACUAAAUCCUUAAUAACGGGUGUGUGACUGGUAAUUCUUGAUGGUCCCAACUGUUCCUCUUUUCUUACCACCAAUAAAAACUUUCAAAUAAGUGGACUGUCAAAAAUUGGUUUGCUUAUGGCAAAGACACAUUGAUAUGGGUACUAUGGCUAUUUGCAUGGAUUUCUUCUCACAUCUACGGUUUAUGUUGACAUUUGCAUGCUAAUUCUGAGUGGCAUAGUCCAUUUUGGUAGGAACCAAAGAAAGAUACGAAGACAGACCAGAAUUGAGAUGGAAAAGGCCAAACUGAAAGGCAGAAUAGGAAAGAGGAAGGCCACAGUGUAAUAGGAAAGCCAGGUGUGUUGAAGCAGAAAGUGUAGAGGUUAAAACCCUCUGUAUUUAGUGUUAAGGGUCUCUGUAUUUAAGCUCAACUAGUUUCAAAUUUUCCUCUGCCACUUACUAUUAUUGUGGCCAUGGGUGAAGAAUUUAACUUCUCUAGGUUUUCUCUUUUUUAUAUUAGAAAUGUAAAUUUUAGAAUAUUAACUACUUCAGGCAGCACUGGACGUAUUAAACAAGGAUAAUAUAUCUCAAUUAAACUGAGAGCUUUUUUCAUCUUCUCUAUUGGAAUAACGUUACUAAACACCCUGUGUAAUCACAUCAUUCA
ensembl:lncRNA